rnacentral:rRNA from 1 species
AAAUUCGCCUUCAUGAAGCCGGAAUUGCUAGUAAUGGCAGGUCAGCAUACUGCCGUGAAUACGUUCCCCGGGCCCUUGUACACACCGCCCGUCACACCAUGAGAGUUGGGAAUACCCGAAGCCUGUGAGCUAACUUUUAGAGGCAGCAGUCGAAGGUAGAAUCAAUGAUUGGGGUGAAGUCGUAACAAGGUAUC